AAAGACAGAGCUUAAGGUAAAAAGCAUGUGCUUGGCAUGCACGAGGUCCUAGGUUCAAUCCCCAGUACCUUCC
rnacentral:tRNA from 1 species